AAUGAACGCUGGCGGCAGGCCUAACACAUGCAAGUCGAGCGAGCAUUUCGGUGCUAGCGGCGGACGGGUGAGUAACGCGUGGGAACGUGCCCUUUUCUGCGGAAUAGUCCUGGGAAACUGGGGGUAAUACCGCAUACGCCCUUUUGGGGAAAGAUUUAUCGGAGAAGGAUCGGCCCGCGUUGGAUUAGGUAGUUGGUGGGGUAAUGGCCCACCAAGCCGACGAUCCAUAGCUGGUUUGAGAGGAUGAUCAGCCACACUGGGACUGAGACACGGCCCAGACUCCUACGGGAGGCAGCAGUGGGGAAUCUUAGACAAUGGGGGCAACCCUGAUCUAGCCAUGCCGCGUGAGUGAUGAAGGCCUUAGGGUUGUAAAGCUCUUUCAGCUGGGAAGAUAAUAACGGUACCAGCAGAAGAAGCCCCGGCUAACUCCGUG
rnacentral:rRNA from 1 species